ACAAGUCAUUGAUCUGUAUGCACUCGUCAAACAUGUUUAUAAUUGUGAUCUUCGUUGGCGGGAAUAACUAAGUUUUGGCACCCUCAAUCCCCCGAAAUUUGCAACAAAAAUUUCACCAAAAUUCUUUUCCCUCCACUGGAUUCUUAGCCGCGCCUUUUCCUAUAACACAACCCACGAAUAAAUUCAUUUGACAAAAGAUAACUAAUUAAACAAGAAAUAAUUUUCUUUCACCAAAAUCAUAAACCCAAACUUCUCUGACUGUUUAAUUACCCUAAACCGAAACCCAUCUUCAUCUGAAUGAUUUUUCUUCCACGCAAAGAUCGUCAUCAGCGUUGAGGAGUUUCUUCUACUUUACAUAAAGGGAUUUCUGAUGCUGGGAUGAGCUACUAGAUGCAUUUAGGCUAAUCUUUAAGAAACUAUCUCUUCAAUAUUUCUCUAUUGGGGUUCCUAGAGUCUGUAAAUCAUGAGGAAAAGUUGCUGCUGGACCUUAUUGAUGCUCUGAAGGAGCUUAACAUGGAUAAUUAUGAUGAGAAGAACAACUAGUUUACUGCUAGUAUUGUAUAUAGAGCUUUAUGACGAUAAUGCUUGAUAAGAUGUUGACAAUCAGAGUUUUGUGUAAUUGGAGUUUCUGUGGAGAAUGUGUUGAAGAUCGUAUACCAGACUCUAGCAAGCUUUCGUAUACGUCUAGUCAAUCGUUGUUUUGCCACUAUUGCUGGUCAUGUAGGCAAGGUUACUACCGCUGGAUUCAUCCCUGAUGGCAGGCAACUGGCUAGUGGUUCUGGUGAUAUAACUGUCCGUUUAUGGAUCCUACUUCUCAAACCCCCUAACUACACUUGUAUAGAUACAUUAUUCGAAUUGUUCUGAUUUGAAUUUCAUUGUAAUAGUAUGUUUUGCCCAACUAGUCGGUCGAAAUUUCAAUUGUGGCUGAAAUUGGUUUACCUUAGGCAACUAAUAUAUAUCAAGGCAAUUGGAUUGGCAUGCAAUCUGUUUGUUAGUGGUUGAGGCAGUCACUUUAUUCCCUUGAACACUUAAAGCUGUCUUUGGUAUCCACAUGCGUAAAUAACAUGUUGUCUACAAUCUUCAUAAUUGGUGACAGAUUUUCUAUGCAUGCCUUGGUUUUUGCAGGAUUUCUUUUUGGGAUGUCCUUUCAUUGGAGGACAUAAAUUUUUUGGAAUAUCUCUUAUGGUAGGAUCACUAUGGCUAUAUAUGCAGGGAUGGUUCAGUAAGGCAGGUGGUCUUGCGAAAAUGCGUUUGGCUUGUUUACCAUAACUAGCUUUCUUUCCAGCGUUUGGAUUGUUUAGCUUUUUUUCCCCUUUUCCAGGUGGUCUUGUGAAAAUGUGUAACCUCCAAACAAUGGAUAUUUUCAUUGUUUAGAGAGGAGAAUUCUGGAAAAAAAAUGUAAGUUCUAUCUCUGAACCUCCCGCCUUAAAACAUCUACUAGACAAAAAGUAAGUUCUUUGAGAAAGAUCCACUUGUGGAAUCUAAACAAUCUUAUGUGCACCUUUUGUAGUUCAUAGAACUUGAAACUUAACCACUAAUCGUGUGUAUGAUUUAUUCAAGAAUAUAUGGUAAUUAUUACACAUUCGGUUGACAAUUGUGCAUAGGUAAUAUAUAACCCUUACUUGCCAUCUCCUGAACAAAUUAAGGUCACUCAAAACUAUAGCACAACUGGAUCAAGUAUGGAAGAAAAACAUGUCAAGUCAGUAAAAGAGUCUUCUAAUAGUAGACAUAUAUUAGCAACAACUAUUCUGUGAUCAGAGAAAUUUAGUCAUGUUGAUGUUGUAACUGAUAUGGAAAUUGUUUGGUUUGAAAUAUGCCCCAUUGGACACGCAUUAGUUGUAAUUUUUUUUCCCUUAUACAGACACGCACAUAUUUUAAAAUUUUCCUGCAUUUGUGAAAUCAUACUGAAACAAGGGAAAAUAAAAGACUGGUGUUGCAGUACGAGGUGGUGUCGGUUGUUUUGUUUUUGUCGGUUAUGGAACCAAUGAAGCUGUUAGCUGUGUGAUGUAAGAGUCCGGAGCUUAGUACUGGAAAAUCCUAUUGUAG